rnacentral:sRNA from 1 species
UGGCACUUCCGAGGUCAUUCAUAAACAUGCACAGAGGAGCAAAAAAUUGGAGUCACCCCACGGGCAUGUUCCCAGGCACUGGGACAACUCUUUUCCAAAGAAAGACCCAAAAAUCGUAUAAAUAAGUCCAAAUGAAGCAUGAUGGGAAAUCAGGGACUAAUUCUGCUUGGAGGACAGGGAAGGCUUUCAAAGCUCUUACAAUGAAACAUGGCAAUAAACAAAAUCUCAUUUACUGUUGGAAAGAUCUGGGAGCAAUGUUAGAAGAAAAGUUAACAAAAAGGUAAAAGGAUUUUAGAGCCAAUAUAACUACUAAUAAUGAAAGUACCUGUGAGAAAAUUAUUCCCAACUAGAUGACUACCUAUUACAAAUAAAUACUUUUCUCUAACCUA